rnacentral:rRNA from 1 species
UACGUAGGGGGCAAGCGUUGUCCGGAAUCAUUGGGCGUAAAGAGCGUGUAGGCGGCUCGGUAAGUCCGCUGUAAAAGUCCAGGGCUCAACCCUGGAAAGCCGGUGGAAACUGUCGAGCUAGAGUCCGGAAGAGGCGAGUGGAAUCCUGGUGUAGCGGUGAAAUGCGCAGAUAUCAGGAGGAACACCAAUGGCGAAGGCAGCUCGCUGGGACGGUACUGACGCUGGAGACGCGAAAGCGUGGGGAGCAAACAGG